UACGGGAGGCAGCAGCAAGGAAUUUUGUGCAAUGGGCGAAAGCCUGACACAGCGACGCCGCGUGGGGGAUGAAGGCUUCGGGUUGUAAACCCCUUUUCUCAGGGAAGAAUAAU
rnacentral:rRNA from 1 species